GUGGGGAAUAUUGGGCAAUGGGCGCAAGCCUGACCCAGCAACGCCGCGUGAGGGAAGAAGGCUUUCGGGUUGUAAACCUCUGUCCUUGGUGACGAAACAAAUGACGGUAGCCAAGGAGGAAGCCCCGGCUAACUACGUGCCAGCAGCCGCGGUAAUACGUAGGGGGCGAGCGUUGUCCGGAAUUACUGGGCGUAAAGGGUGCGUAGGUGGCCUUUUAAGUUGGAUGUGAAAUACCCGGGCUGAACUUGGGGGGUGCAUCCAAAACUGGGAGGCUAGAGUGCAGGAGAGGAAAGCGGAAUUCCUAGUGUAGCGGUGAAAUGCGUAGAUAUUAGGAGGAACACCAGUGGCGAAGGCGGCUUUCUGGACUGUAACUGACACUGAGGCACGAAAGCGUGGGGAGCAAACAGGAUUAGAAACCCUGGUAGUCC
rnacentral:rRNA from 1 species